AUACCGGAUAAGCCCUUACGGGGAAAGAUUUAUCGCCGAAAGAUCGGCCCGCGUCUGAUUAGCUAGUUGGUAGGGUAAUGGCCUACCAAGGCGACGAUCAGUAGCUGGUCUGAGAGGAUGAUCAGCCACAUUGGGACUGAGACACGGCCCAAACUCCUACGGGAGGCAGCAGUGGGGAAUAUUGGACAAUGGGGGCAACCCUGAUCCAGCCAUGCCGCGUGAGUGAUGAAGGCCCUAGGGUUGUAAAGCUCUUUUGUGCGGGAAGAUAAUGACGGUACCGCAAGAAUAAGCCCCGGCUAACUUCGUGCCAGCAGCCGCGGUAAUACGAAGGGGGCUAGCGUUGCUCGGAAUCACUGGGCGUAAAGGGUGCGUAGGCGGGUUUUUAAG
rnacentral:rRNA from 1 species